AGGUCUGUUACUGGGUUUUCUGUUCUUCUGGGUGGUUCUUUGGUCAGCUGGAAAUCUAAGAAACAACCUGUUGUAUCUUUAUCAUCUGCUGAGGCAGAGUAUCGGGCUUUAAGCAAACUUGUGGCUGAACUUUCCUGGUUAUCUCGCUUAUUAUCUGAUCUUGGUGUUCCUAUUUCUCUCCCAAUUUCUGUAUACUGUGAUAGUCAAUCUGCCAUACACAUUGCUACUAAUCCUAUUUUCCAUGAACGCACAAAACAUAUUGAGGUGGACUGUCAUUUUGUGCGUGAUCAAGUCAACUCAGGCUUCAUUAAGCUGUUUCAUGUAUCUACUUCUCGGCAACUGGCUGAUUUGCUCACCAAGCCUCUAACUGGCACUGCCCUACAUCCGCUGCUGUCCAAGUUGAAGGUGGUGUCCCCCUCCAACUUGAGGGGGGGUGUUGACUUACAAGAUUACAUGGCUUCUAAGUUGCUCACCAAGCCUCUAACUGGCACUGCCCUACAUCCGCUGCUGUCCAAGUUGAAGGUGGUGUCCCCCUCCAACUUGAGGGGGGGUGUUGACUUAAAAGAUUACAUGGCUUCUAAGUCAUUUCAAUAGUUGUGUAAUUGUAUAUUAUUUUGUAUAUUUGAUGUAUAUAGAGUGUAUAUAUAAUGGGCAGUGAUGAUAUAUGUUCUGGGCUCAUGUGUUGAGCCACUGACACUUAUGAGCCUAAUGGGUCAUAUCUGAGCCCGGGUCAUUUGACCCAAUAUCCGACCCAGUCCGGUCCAAUUCUUAUUUGUACAUAUGGUGUAGAGGAGAAGGUUCUACACAUCAGAUAUUUUCAUUUCAUUUCCCAACAACCGACUCUUCGGUUAUCUCAAUCUCUCCUCCUUCUCUCUACUUUCUCUCUCUAGUUUCUCUGUGAUUUUAUCGAUUAAUCUGAAUAUUGAC
rnacentral:lncRNA from 1 species